rnacentral:rRNA from 1 species
GAGUUUGAUCCUGGCUCAGGAUGAACGCUGGCGGCGUGCCUAAUACAUGCAAGUCGAGCGAACGGAUAAGGAGCUUGCUCCUUUGAAGUUAGCGGCGGACGGGUGAGUAACACGUGGGUAACCUACCUAUAAGACUGGAAUAACUUCGGGAAACCGGAACUAAUGCCGGAUAACAUAUAGAACCGCAUGGUUCUAUAGUGAAAGAUGGUUUUGCUAUCACUUAUAGAUGGACCCGCGCCGUAUUAGCUAGUUGGUAAGGUAAUGGCUUACCAAGGCGACGAUACGUAGCCGACCUGAGAGGGUGAUCGGCCACACUGGAACUGAGACACGGUCCAGACUCCUACGGGAGGCAGCAGUAGGGAAUCUUCCGCAAUGGGCGAAAGCCUGCAGCAACGCCGCGUGAGUGAUGAAGGUUUUCGGAUCGUAAAACUCUGUUAUUAGGGAAGAACAAAUGCGUAAGUAACUGUGCGCAUCUUGACGGUACCUAAUCAGAAAGCCCCGAGAGGU